AUUGAACGCUGGCGGCAUGCCUUACACAUGCAAGUCGAACGCGAAAGUGGGGGCAACCCUGUGAGUAGAGUGGCGAACGGGUGAGUAACACAUCGGAACGUACCCAGGAGUGGGGGACAACCUCGAGAAAUCGAGGCUAAUACCGCAUACGUCCUGAGGGAGAAAGCGGGGGAUUCGCAAGGACCUCGCGCUCAUGGAGCGGCCGAUGUCGGAUUAGCUAGUUGGCGGGGUAAAAGCCCACCAAGGCUACGAUCCGUAGCUGGUUUGAGAGAACGACCAGCCACACUGGGACUGAGACACGGCCCAGACUCCUACGGGAGGCAGCAGUGGGGAAUUUUGGACAAUGGGCGCAAGCCUGAU
rnacentral:rRNA from 1 species